AUUGAACGCUGGCGGCAUGCCUUACACAUGCAAGUCGAACGGUAACAGGCCGCAAGGUGCUGACGAGUGGCGAACGGGUGAGUAAUGCAUCGGAACGUGCCCAGUCGUGGGGGAUAACGCAGCGAAAGCUGUGCUAAUACCGCAUACGAUCUAUGGAUGAAAGCGGGGGACCGUAAGGCCUCGCGCGAUUGGAGCGGCCGAUGUCAGAUUAGGUAGUUGGUGGGGUAAAGGCCUACCAAGCCGACGAGCUGUAGCUGGUCUGAGAGGAGGACCAGCCACACUGGGACUGAGACACUGCCCAGACUCCUACGGGAGGCAGCAGUGGGGAAUUUUGGACAAUGGGCGCAAGCCUGAUCCAGAAAUGCCGCGUGCAGGAAGAAGGCCUUCGGGUUGUAAACUGCUUUUGUACGGAACGAAACGGCCUGGGUUAAUACCCUGGGCUAAUGACGGUACCGUAAGAAUAAGCACCGGCUAACUACGUGCCAGCAGCCGCCGUAACAC
rnacentral:rRNA from 1 species